CCUUUGGGGACACUUGCUGAGCCCUUUCCUUGCCCUUUUCUGACUUCCCAGGAAUGUGCCAAGUGCCUGUCAGCUUUGUCCAUUACUUCAGAAAUCACUUGUGGGAGUUACCAAGGACACCAACAACAUCUCAGCACUCUGAUUUUGCAGUUACAGUGUCCUGCAAGAACAGAAUAUUCCCAUCAUUACAGGAGGCUACAGAUUUUGAGGAGAACCUGCUGAGUUCAGCCUGUAGUAACUUUGUGGAUGAGGAUGAGCCCUGCCCACCUUUGCUCCUCACAGCAGUGCUUCAGCCAAGCAGUUGGAGUCCUGACAAUCCAGUGGUCCCAGCCAGUUUACCAUUUAUACUGGAGAGACACCAGGCAACCUGGCAACUGGAACCGAAAUCAAGCAGAGGACAAAGCAGGAGAAGCAACUGAUUAAAGGGCCAUGAAUAAUUUAUAUUAACUCAAAAGUCAGCUCAGCACAGCAUCAGAUAGGGAGGUAAAACCCCCUUGGCAGAGCCCUCCUGGGCACUUCGUGCAAGAGGCCUCAGCAAUCAGCUCCCUGCAGGGACAUUUCUCCACCCCAGGGAGGCCCUAGCCACUUAAACAAUUUGCAUUCCAUCACUGCAGUUCAAUUAGGUGCUUUUCCUAAUGGCACAUGACAAAUGUGCUUCACACCUUGCUUCCAGAAGGGAAGAGUGUCAAACAUUUGACACUUCCACGUGUAUUUCCCUAAGCUUCAAACCUCAGCUGUUA
rnacentral:lncRNA from 1 species